UACGAAGGGGGCUAGCGUUGCUCGGAAUCACUGGGCGUAAAGCGUGCGCAGGCGGUUGUGCAGGACAGGUGUGAAAUCCCCGGGCUUAACCUGGGAACUGCACUUGUGACUGCACAGCUGGAGUACGGCAGAGGGGGAUGGAAUUCCGCGUGUAGCAGUGAAAUGCGUAGAUAUGCGGAGGAACACCGAUGGCGAAGGCAGUCCCCUGGGCCUGUACUGACGCUCAUGCACGAAAGCGUGGGGAGCAAACAGG
rnacentral:rRNA from 1 species